AUUCAUUUUUGAGAGAGACAGAGACCAAGCAUGAGUGGGGGAGGGGCAGAGAGAGAGGGAGACACAGGAUCCGAAGCUGGCCCCAGGCUCUGAGCUGUCAGCACAGAGCCUGAUGUGGGGCUCGAACUCAUGAACCCUGAGAUCAUGACCCGAGCUGAAGUCAGAGGCUUAACUGACUGAGCCAUCUAGACGCCCCUCUCAUAUGAGUUUUAAAUAUAUUUCCAGUUUAUGUCUUUGAUAUUCCUUGUGUUUUUUGUUGUUUUUUUUUGGGGGGGGUAUAUAGUUGAAUUUUGGUGCAAAUUUUCAAUCUUACGAUCAUUAAGUUUCAUGACUAGUUUAGGUUUUUCCCAUUCCAAGAUUAUAAAAAUAUCCUGUAGUGUUUUCAUCUUGUACUUUUAAAUUUCACCUAAAACUUUGAUCCUUCUGGAUUUUAUUUUGGUGUCAGGAGUGAAGGCAGACCCCAGUAGUUGUGUGUGUGUGUGUGUGUGUGUGUGUGUGUGUAUAUACACACACACUUAUAUUUAUAUUUAUAUAUUUGUUAGAUAUACAGUUGUAUUUUUUGACAUAUACAUAAAUGUAAACCCACUCAAUAAAUAAUAUAAAGCAUGCAAAGAUCUAUACACACAAUUGUAUGCCCAGAUACACCUGUUCAUACAUGUACUGGUAUACACAAAUAAAAUAUAUGCGAGUAUAAAUGCAGAAAUGAAAAUAUAUGUCCCCCCCUGCCCCAUACUUGAAUACUUGGAGAAAUUUAAUUCUCAGUGCGAUGCCAGAUAGGAGUGAGGUUUGGUUGCUCGUCACUGGGGACAUGCCCAUUUUCCUUUCACAGAACAUUAAAAAGUCUCCUGGUUGGACCCUCCCUGUGCUUCAGUAUAUGUAUAUAUCAGAAGCAUCCCAUUAAAAUUGGUUCAACUCCCUGUGUAUGUGUCUUGCCUUUUGUAACAAAGGGAAGAAGCAGGUUAACGAAAGUCCUGUAAAUGAAGGCUAAAACGUGGGUUAGAAUUUACUCACACCUGUAACUACCUGCAGAAGAAAUCAGUCAAAUCUUGGCUACUUCCAGAUCCAGAGUGAAGCCGCCUUUUAAUUUCAAGCCAUAAAAGUGAACUACUGACUCAGAUCUUCCUGUUGUGGAGGAAGAUGAAGGUCUGGGUCCAGGCCAGUGGUUGUCAGCCAGGGGCGAUUGUGCCUCCAGGGGCCAUUUGGCAGUGUCCAGAGUCCUUUUUGUUAGUCACACCUGGGGACAGGGCAGCUACUAUUCCAUCUAGCGGGUGGAGGCGGGUGCUGUUAACAUCCUAUAGUUAGUUCACAGGCAGGCUCCCCUCACCCCCAACAAAGAAUUGUCGGGUCCAACAGGCCAGUAGCAUCACUGCUCAGAAAUCCUGGUCUGGGUUGAACGGCAGGAAAACCAGAAAAUCUGGGUUAAGUGUUGGUAUUUAGACUUGCACCCCAAGAAGGAGCAUCUUUAUACUAAUUCCAUCCAUACACAUUUUGGGGGUUCUGUGGCUGUUUUCUUUGUACUUGCUGGCUCCUUUUGAUAUGGCCAUUUACAGAAUCAGUAAAGAAGCAGACAGAUCAUUGCCUUUUCUUUUUUUUUCUGUGCAAAUGUCACUAACCUUUAUUAGGUAAUAUAAGAAGUCUGAGCAUUUUCUUUAGUGAUUAUCUUGAAAUCCUUCCAGUCACUAACUCCUCUGUUUAUAACCUUCAAGAAUAGGCAUCACUUCUCUGGUGUUUUCUAAUAGUCUGCUUUUUCUUGUUCUUCAGGGGGAGAGAAAAAGAUUCUGUGGACACGUUUAAAUCGUCUAGCAGAGUUAUCACUGUUCUUUUAAUAAGUAACAUAUUCCUUGUAGUUUGCAGCAGUGGUUUUACAGUAAAGGGAAGUCCUUGUGAAAUCCCUUGAUUCUGGGAAGAUGAGGGGAGGCCAAAAAAAAAAAAAAAAAAAAAAAAAACAACAACCCAAAAAGGAAGAGGCGGGAAUGCUAUGUGGUUCUGCACCAUUAAUCCUGGUAAUGGGCUCCUUUGCCUCUUGUUGUCUGAUCCCAUUCUGUGUGUGUUUGGAUGUAUGAUUUUGGCUGAGGGCUCUUGCACAGAAUGCAGUAAGUUUGUCAACCUGACAAAUAAAUAAAGAAAAUAAA